rnacentral:rRNA from 1 species
CCUACGGGGGGCAGCAGUGGGGAAUAUUGGACAAUGGGGGCAACCCUGAUCCAGCCAUGCCGCGUGUGUGAAGAAGGCCCUCGGGUUGUAAAGCACUUUCAGUGAGGAAGAACGCCUGGUGGUUAAUACCCAUCAGGAAAGACAUCACUCACAGAAGAAGCACCGGCUAACUCCGUGCCAGCAGCCGCGGUAAUACGGAGGGUGCGAGCGUUAAUCGGAAUUACUGGGCGUAAAGCGCGCGUAGGUGGCUUGAUAAGACGGUUGUGAAAGCCCCGGGCUCAACCUGGGAACGGCAUCCGGAACUGUCAAGCUAGAGUGCAGGAGAGGAAGGUAGAAUUCCCGGUGUAGCGGUGAAAUGCGUAGAGAUCGGGAGGAAUACCAGUGGCGAAGGCGGCCUUCUGGACUGACACUGACACUGAGGUGCGAAAGCGUGGGUAGCAAACAGGAUUAGAUACCCGAGUAGUC